GAGUUUGAUCAUGGCUCAGGACGAACGCUGGCGGCGUGCUUAACACAUGCAAGUCGAACGGGCCUUGCCUCUUUUUUGGGGGUGGGGUUAGUGGCGAACGGGUGAGUAACACGUGAGUAACCUGCCCCUCACUUCUGGAUAACCGCUUGAAAGGGUGGCUAAUACAGGGUGUUCUGGCCUGCUCGCAUGGGUGGGUUUGGAAAGAUUCGACCGGUUUUGGUUGUUUUGGUGGGGGAUGGGCUCGCGGCCUAUCAGCUUGUUGGUGGGGUGAUGGCCCGCCAAGGCUUUGACGGGUAGCCGGCCUGAGAGGGUGGGCGGUCACACUGGGACUGAGACACGGCCCAGACUCCUACGGGAGGCAGCAGUGGGGAAUAUUGCACAAUGGGCGCAAGCCUGAUGCAGCGACGCCGCGUGAGGGAUGGAGGCCUUCUGGUUGUGAACCUCUUUCGCCAGUGAAGAAGGUCCUGCUCUUUGUGGUGGGGUUGACUGUAGCUGGGUUAAUGAAGCGCCGGCUAACUACCUGCCAGCAGCCGCGGUAAUACGUAGGGCGCGAGCGUUGUCCGGAAUUAUUGGGCGUAAAGGGCUUGUAGGCGGCUGGUCGCGUCUGCCGUGAAAUCCUCUGGCUCAUCUGGUGGCGUGCGGUGGGUACGGGCUGGCUUGAGUGCGGUAGGGGAGACUGGAACUCCUGGUGUAGCGGUGGAAUGCGCAGAUAUCAGGAGGAACACCGGUGGCGAAGGCGGGUCUCUGGGCCGUUACUGACGCUGAGGAGCGAAAGCGUGGGGAGCGAACAGGAUUAGAUACCCUGGUAGUCCACGCUGUAAACGUUGGGCACUAGGUGUGGGGGGCCUUUUCCGGGUUUUCCGCGCCGUAGCUAACGCAUUAAGUGCCCCGCCUGGGGAGUACGGCCGCAAGGCUAAAACUCAAAGGAAUUGACGGGGGCCCGCACAAGCGGCGGAGCAUGCGGAUUAAUUCGAUGCAACGCGAAGAACCUUACCAAGGCUUGACAUGGGCUGGAUUGCUUCGGAGACGGGGUUUCCCUUUUUGGGCUGGUUCACAGGUGGUGCAUGGUUGUCGUCAGCUCGUGUCGUGAGAUGUUGGGUUAAGUCCCGCAACGAGCGCAACCCUUGUCUCGUGUUGCCAGCACGUUGUGGUGGGGACUCGCGGGAGACUGCCGGGGUUAACUCGGAGGAAGGUGGGGAUGACGUCAAAUCGUCAUGCCCCUUAUGUCUUGGGCUUCACGCAUGCUACAAUGGCCGGUACAGUGGGUUGCGAUGCUGUGAGGCGGAGCGAAUCCCUGAAAGCCGGUCUCAGUUCGGAUCGGUGUCUGCAACUCGACACCGUGAAGUUGGAGUCGCUAGUAAUCGCAGAUCAGCAGCGCUGCGGUGAAUACGUUCUCGGGCCUUGUACACACCGCCCGUC
rnacentral:rRNA from 1 species